rnacentral:rRNA from 1 species
GAUGAACGCUGGCGGCGUGCCUAAUACAUGCAAGUCGAGCGAACGGACGAGAAGCUUGCUUCUCUGAUGUUAGCGGCGGACGGGUGAGUAACACGUGGAUAACCUACCUAUAAGACUGGGAUAACUUCGGGAAACCGGAGCUAAUACCGGAUAAUAUUUUGAACCGCAUGGUUCAAAAGUGAAAGACGGUCCUGCUGUCACUUAUAGAUGGAUCCGCGCUGCAUUAGCUAGUUGGUAAGGUAACGGCUUACCAAGGCAACGAUGCAUAGCCGACCUGAGAGGGUGAUCGGCCACACUGGAACGGAGACACGGUCCAGACUCCUACGGGAGGCAGCAGUAGGGAAUCUUCCGCAAUGGGCGAAAGCCUGACGGAGCAACGCCGCGUGAGUGAUGAAGGUCUUCGGAUCGUAAAACUCUGUUAUUAGGGAAGAACAUAUGUGUAAGUAACUGUGCACAUCUUGACGGUACCUAAUCAGAAAGCCACGGCUAACUACGUG